rnacentral:rRNA from 1 species
AUUGAACGCUGGCGGCAGGCCUAACACAUGCAAGUCGAACGGUAACAGGAAGCAGCUUGCUGCUUCGCUGACGAGUGGCGGACGGGUGAGUAAUGUCUGGGAAGCUGCCUGAUGGAGGGGGAUAACUACUGGAAACGGUAGCUAAUACCGCAUAAUGUCGCAAGACCAAAGAGGGGGACCUUCGGGCCUCUUGCCAUCGGAUGUGCCCAGAUGGGAUUAGAUUGUUGGUGGGGUAACGGCUCACCAAGGCGACGAUCCCUAGCUGGUCUGAGAGGAUGACCAGCCACACUGGAACUGAGACACGGUCCAGACUCCUACGGGAGGCAGCAGUGGGGAAUAUUGCACAAUGGGCGCAAGCCUGAUGCAGCCAUGCCGCGUGUAUGAAGAAGGCCUUCGGGUUGUAAAGUACUUUCAGCGGGGAGGAAGGGAGUAAAGUUAAUACCUUUGCUCAUUGACGUUACCCGCAGAAGAAGCACCGGCUAACUCCGUG